rnacentral:lncRNA from 1 species
UUCGCUAGGAUUACCGACAAAGUCGUCCUCGGUGGAAACUGAACACAAAACUUGAAACUAAAUAAUGCUUUUCUUGCCCCUUAAAAUUCGGGGGAAAAGAACUCAUUUUUACGUGAGAUAAAGAAGUGUUUGAAUCGCGAGUUACUUCCCGCAAAAUUUCUUUUCAUUCAUUCCUUGCUAUUGUUUGAAGCACUUUUUUAUAUAUGUAUAUAUAUAAUGGAUCACAUCUACGUAACAGUGGAUAUUUAGCGGAGAUUUAAUUAAAUGGACAUUAUUCUAAUCAACCACGUAAAGAAAUAGCUAUAUUCCCUGCUAUUGUUCAAUCCACAUCUAUAUUUAUUGAGUCAUAUCUGCUUCACAACGGAUAUUUAGCGGAGUUCUAAUUAAAAGUACAUGAUCGCUAAUUAACUGCGAAAAGAAAGUCGUGACAACAUUCAUUAUUACAUUGAUGUGAAAAUAUAAAUCAACGUCUACUGUAAAAUUUAGUUCUUAUGAAGCUGUCAGUGUCUGGAUUGUCUUAAGAUCUGAUUAUAUGAACAUAUUGUGCACUGUCUUCCCCCUUAUUGGGGCUUGAUUAAUAAGUAAGUAUUGUUAUAAUAUACAUCUACAUUGUAAGAGUCGUCUUACGAAUAUCUCUUAAUGUUGGAGUGAACAGUGUGAUCGUUGUCUAAGAUAUAGAAAAACACCUAGGUCUCAUAAAACUGGUACACGUACACAAAACGAACAAACCGUUUCAGUCUCUGAGACCAAAACAAUAAUUUAUAUUUCUUUACUACCCACAACGGGCUAAACAUAGAGGGGACAAACAAGGACAGACAAAGGGAUUAAGUCGAUUACAUGGGCCCCAGUGCGCAACUGGUACUUAAUUUAUCGACCCCGAAAGGAUGAAAGGCAAAGUCGACCUCGGCGGAAUUUGAACUCGGAACGUAACGACAGACGAAAUACUGCUACGAAUUUCGCCCGGCGUGCUAACGUUUUUACCAGCCCGCCGCGAAAACAAUAAUAUAAGUUCCAUAUAAGGUAGUAAGCUGGCAGAAUCGUUAGCACGCUGGGCAAAAUGCUGUGCGGUAUUUCGUCCGCCGCUACGUUCUGAGUUCAAAUUCCGCCGAGGUCGACUUUGCCUUUCAUCCUUUCGGGGUCGAUAAAUUAAGUACCCCGUCUGUCUGUCCUUGUUUGUCCCCUCUGUGUUUAGCCCCUUGUGGGUAGUAAAGAAAUAAGUAUUUCGUUUGCCGUUACGUUCUCAGUUCAAAUUCCACCGAGGUCGACUUUGCCUUUCAUCUUUUCGGGGUCGAUAAAAUAAGGGCAUCCAUCCUCAAUUUUUUUUUUUUUUCGAAAUUUCAAGUUUCAUUUUAUCAGUAUGUAUAUGUAUGAGUCCGCCAAGUUUGUUUUUUUAUGUUAAAUUCCCAUAUAAUCGUAACCUACACACUCUGGGAGGUAUUUAUAGAAAAUUUGGCAUUCCUUCGAUAUAACUCGACAAAAUCAAAACAUUCCCCUUCGGGUAUUUCCGUGGGUUGUGGAGUAUAGAUAUAACGAAAUUAUGCCAGCAAUGUCUCAUCUUAAACUUGAAGAAAAAAACCUUGCAUAUUUGUUCUUACCUGUAUGAAAAAUCCGCAAAUUUCCUAGCAGAAAACAGAAUCGAACUGUCAUUUGCAUCCACGGAAAUACCCGAAGUGAAAUGUUUUGAUUUUGUCGAAUCAUAUCGAAAGAAUGCCAUAAUUUUCGUUAGAAAAUACUUAUUUUACUAAAAGUUAUAAUGAAACGAAGCCGUGUGAAUUUUCCGAGACUCUUCUCCCUACCCUCGCAAUUUUUUUUUUUUUUUUUCACAACAAAUAAUCUGAAUCUGCAACAUCUGAAAUGUAUUUUUUUCUCUUAUUCUAUCGGUUCUCUUUUGCCGAACCGCUAAGUUACAGGGACGUAAACACACCAGCAUUGGUUGUCAAGCGAUGUUGGGGGGACAAACACAGACACACACAUACAUAUAUAUCUAUAUACAUAUAUACGACGGGCUUCUUUCAGUUUCCAUGUACCAAAUCCACUCACAAGGCUUUGGUCAGCCCGAGGCUAAAGUAGAAGACACUUGCCCAAAGUGCCACGCAGUGGGACUGAACCCGGAACCAUGUGGUUGGUAAACAAGCUACUUACCACACAGCCACUCCUACGUGACUAGAAAAUCUCAUCAAAACAUACUCAUUUUUCUGGAAGUUAUGAAGAAACAAAGUCAGGUGGGGGCCAUAUGUGGAGGUAUUCUAAAAUAAGUACCAGUUGAGCACUAGGUUUGAUGUAAUCGACUUUCCUCCAUCCCAGAAAUUAAUUUCAGCCCUGUGAAUCAGUAAAAUUACUAUUUUUAAUGGCAUAUUAAAGGCACUUUAAUUUCAACAGUAUAUACUCUGGACAAUGAGUUUUUAGCACAUGUAAUACAGGCCCAGGUUUCACAUUGAGAUUUGCUGAAGUAUGGAACAAACUGCCGGCAUCAGUUGUUAGUUGUCGGAGCACUGCAUCCUUCAAAACUUCCAUACUUCCUGAGAUUCACCAACACUACACCUGAUCUUCUCCCCUCCAUACACACGCAAGCAUGUAUCUGACUCAUACACUGUUCACUUCCCAGACAUUUGUACAUUACUGCAUAUGCUUUAUACGCACUUUCCGACAAGUUGUGGUGCACCUGAGCACUGUAUAUAAUACACUCCAUCAGGCAUUUGCCAUAUUCUGAACGCCUUACUUCUCUGGGCAUGGACACAUUGAAACUCCGAUGUCUGGCAGCUAACUUGGCAGACACCCAUAAAAUUAUUAACCAUCUUAAAAACAAUAACUUUGAGCACCUUUUCAAACUCCAUCUGUCUAACACUCAUGGACAUAUUUACAAAGUCAGAAAACAGCACAGCUCCCAUGACUUUCGGAAACAUUUUUUCAUGCUAAGAGUUGCUGAAGCAUGGAACAAACUGCCGGCAUCAGUUGUUAGUUGUCGGAGCACUGCACCCUUCAAAACUUCCAUGCUUCCUGAGAUUUGCCAACACUACACCUGAUCUUUCUCCCCUCCAUACACACGCAAGCAUGUAUCUGACUCAUACACUGUUCGUUUUCCAGACAUUUGUACAUUACUGCAUAUGCUUUAUAUGCACUUUAGACAAGUCGUGGUGCACCUGAGCACUGUAUACAAUAAUUUCAUUAUUAUUAUUAUUAUUAUUAUUAUAUACACACACACACACAUAUAUCUGCAUUCAUAUAUGCUUUAUACACACUUUUGACAAGUUGUGGUGCACCUGAGCAAUGUAUACAAUAAUUUCUCUAUUAUUAUUAUUUAAAAACUUCACCUGUUUAACACCUGUGGAUAUGUUUACAAAGUCAGAAAACAGCACAGCUCCCAUGACUUUCGGAAACAUCUUUUCACACUGAGAGUUGCUGAAGCAUGGAACAAACUGCCAGCAUCAGUUGUUAGUUGUCGGAGCACUGCAUCCUUCAAAACUUCCAUGCUUUCAGAGAUUCGCCAACACUACACCUGAUCUUUCUCCCCUCCAUACACACAAGCAAGCAUGUAUCUGACUCAUACACGUUUUGCUUUCCAGACAUUUGUACAUUACUAUAUAUGCUUUAUACGCAUUUUCUGACAAGUUGUGGUGCACCUGAGCACUGAAUACAAUUAUUUCAUUAUUAUUAUCAUAUAGAACCCGAGGUGGGCUUUCUUUCUUUUUCAAACAAAAGCUUUUUGUAUGUCAUUAAAUAUUGUGGUUAAAUUAUCAAACGAGUACUUAUACAUAGAAAGAACAUGCUUACAACCCGAUUAUCAAAUCUUCAUUUGACAUAAGUGACACCUGUGAUUUGUUAAACCAAUUUAAUUAUGUUUUGUAUUAUAUUUCAUAAACAAUUAAACACCAUACUCUAAAACUUUUGUAGAUCUUUGGGAACUCCACACAAAUAGCUUAAAUACUUUAUAAACCAAUUAGUGACUCCUGAUUACAAAAACUAAUUUAACUGGUUUAUCUACCAUUUUAUAGUUACAUAUAGCGGCCUCUACCUGGGAUGUAGCCAGUCCACUUAUGCAUACCUUCCUUCUUGGGACACAUAACUCUACUUGUGAAGACCUGUUGAGGCAAGUGAAAAUCAAAAUCGAAAUUGAUCAACAUCAAUGGAAUUUGUAGUUGUGAUACCAGUGCCGGUGGCACGUAAGAGAACCAUCUGAAUGUGGCCAUAGCCAGCGCCGCAUCGCCUGGCCUCCGUGCCAGUGGCACGUAACAAACACCAUCCGAUUCGUGGCCGUUGCUAGCCUCACCUGGCCUCCGUGCCAGUAGCACGUAAAAUGCACCAUCUGAGCGUGGCCAUUAGCCAGCCUCAUCUGGCACCUGUGUCGGUGGCACGUAAAAAGCACCAUCCGUUCGUGGCCAUUAGCCAGCCUCAUCUGGCACCUGUGUCGGUGGCACGUAAAAAGCACCCACUGCACUCACGGAGUGGUUGGCGUUAGGAAGGGCAUCAGGCUGUAGAAACACUGCCAGAUCAGACUGGGCCUGGUGCAGCCUACUGGCCUCCCACACCCCAGUUGAACCGUCCAACCCAUGCUAGCAUGGAAAGCAGACGUUAAACAAUGAUGAUGAUGAUGGUGAUAUAUAUAAACAACUGGCUGACGUACCUGGUAAUUCCUGGGAAAGCAGGGCUUAUCCCUUGGUUCUGUCCUCAUAAUUGUUUCACUAACCUAAUAACAACAAUAGUGGAGGCACAUGGCUUAGUUGUUAGAGCAGUGGACUUGCGGUCGAGGGAUCACGGGUUCGAAUCUCAGACCAGGCGAUGUUUGUGUUUUUAUAUAUAUAUAUAUAUAAUAAUAAUAAUAAUAAUAUUAGGGAGUAAAUCCAAACUUAGAAGGAAAAAUUAGAUUUAGGAUUAAAUCUAAUUUUACAGUAUAAAUAUAAAUUAAAUUAGAGAUAAAACCACUAUUAGGCAAAUCAAUUAUAUUAAUUAAUUUUAUUUCUAUGUUUUGGUUUAUGUUUUUUCACUGUUUGAUUUGCCUAAUAGUGGUUUUAUCUCUAAUUUAAUUUAUAUAUAUAUAUAUAUAUAUAUAUAUAUAUAUAUAUAUAUAUAAAUGAGACCGCGUGUGUACCGUUUGCGAUUUUUUUCCUCUGUCUUCCCUUCUCUGGAUCUUUCCUUCUUCUAUGUUUCCGACGAAGAGCUCCGCUUGAAACGUUAAACCCUCCUUCUUUCCUUCUUUCCUGAGCCUCCAAUAAUACUAUGUGUGUGUGUGUGUGUGUGUGUACAUACACACAGACACACGUAUGCACGUGCACACAUCUUGGAAAGGAAUGGAUGUAGUCAGGGAAUUCAAUUGUUUGGUAUGUAUCUUUAGCAAAGUAACCAUUUUAGAAGAAAUAUAAUUAAAUGUCCCCUAUUGAAUCUUUUAUUAUUUAGUAUCUUCCAUAUCUUACAUUCUUCUUUCUCUUUUAUUUCAGAAUAUCAGAUGAGAUUGGCAUUAAAGAAUUUCUGUUACAUCAAAUAACAUGAUUAAUAUUGAGCACCUAUUAAAGACCAAAAGAAGUUCUACUGAACAGGUGUAAACCUAUUUAUAUAAAUCUAUGUUAUGCAUUACUGUAGACUACUUGCCCAGGACUGAAAUUAAUC